AACUGAUACUACCUGCGGGAACCUGCGGAGGGAUCAUUACAGAGUUGAAAAACUCCCAACCCUUUGUGAACCUACCUCUUUGACUGUUGCUUCGGCAGGCAGCCCCAGGGCGGGGCUGUAGCCUGAUUCAGGUGCCUGCCGGAGGUAUCAAACUCUAUUUUUAAUAGUAACGUCUGAGUAAAUAUUACAAAAUAAGUCAAAACUUUUAGCAAUGGAUCUCU
rnacentral:misc_RNA from 1 species